UUUCAAUCAAAACUAGAUCGAUUGGUUCUCUGUUAUUUUAUAAUAUUUUUCUGAAGUGGAUUAUUGAACUGCAAACUAUUUUUUGAACAUUUUUGUAUGUGCUUGAGAAUGUAUUCAUUGUGUAUGUUGGUCAGAUAACACUAACAGUACUAUAGUAUCUAGUUCACAAUACUGGUUAAAUCAAGCAGCCAGCUAUCCAUUGUGAAGGGUUGUUCAUUAGUCUGGCUGGGUCAGAGAAUUCAGCUCUCAACAGGGAAGACAACGCGUAAUACUGAAUUGAAAUGGAUAUGUUUUCCUUUAUCAUCUCAUUAUCAGUGGCUGCACUGUAUUCGAGUUAUUACUGGACUUUCGCAGUAGGCCCCAACUUUGAAUAUGUGCUGAGAGGUAGAAUUUGGGAUGUACUGUUUCAAGAUGUAGCCAGAGAUAAACACAUUGAGAAAGUCAAGUGUUAUGUAGCUGUGCAUCAUAUUGAUUCAAAUUCAAAUUAUUCGAAAUUUAGUUUUGUAUUUCAUGAAAGUUAUAAUUAUCCACUUUGUCAGUUUGCGGAAAAACAGAUGAGAAAAAAUAAAACUAUGCAUAUGUAUGCAAGAAAGGGUACUGGUCCAACGGAUUUAAAGUUUCCCAAUCCUGUUAUAGUUGGUCUCGAGUUAGGUAACACAGGUGUUAGGUUUGCAGAUUAAUUGUGAUUUCUUGUACUCAAGAAUAAUGAACAUUUUGAAGCAUGGAACGGGGAAUUGAAUACAAUUUCAGAAAAUUGAUCAGUCAUUCAUUUAUGUACAUAUCUAUAUGAUUGAAAUAUGCAAAGUCCAUUCAUUUGUUAUUGAAGUAUAUUGUGUAGUCUAUUCAUUUGUUUACAUUAUAAAAACAAAUUGUGAUUGAAAUGGUGCUUGAUUUUGUUUUUAAUUUUUAUUAAACUGAGUACAUAUUUC